rnacentral:rRNA from 1 species
UAGGUGGCAAGCGUUAUCCGGAUUUAUUGGGCGUAAAGCGAGCGCAGGCGGUUGCUUAGGUCUGAUGUGAAAGCCUUCGGCUUAACCGAAGAAGUGCAUCGGAAACCGGGCGACUUGAGUGCAGAAGAGGACAGUGGAACUCCAUGUGUAGCGGUGGAAUGCGUAGAUAUAUGGAAGAACACCAGUGGCGAAGGCGGCUGUCUGGUCUGCAACUGACGCCGAGGCUCGAAAGCAUGGGUAGCGAA